CUCAACCAAUUAGAACGCUGAAUCUAUUCUACCCGUUUUAUAAUAUAAUAAUUAAAGUAAAGUUAAUUGGAGAUUGGUUAAAAUAGCAAUGAUUUUAUCAGUUUGAGUUGACUAGUUUGCCAGGCAUUAGUUAUGAGUUAGCUGGUUAGCGUUACUUUGCUCGCUGCCAAACUAGUCAGCCAACUGAUGAAAUAGCCACGUCCGCUCUAACCGUAAUGCUACUUUUAGCAUUACGUAGAAGUUAGCAUGUGGUAACCACGGGACUGUUUCACUCUUCUAUUAACAAAUCCGAUGUCAAUUCCAUUUAAAGUAGUUUGUUGCUUUUGAGAAACAUAAUUAACUAACGUUAGUUUAUCACGUCAACUCAAUAAAUUGACAUUACAUAUUACCAAGCUGGGACAUGUAAAAUGCAAAUCUAUGUAAAACGUCAACUUUAUUGGCUGUGGUAGACUGCUGGAGACCAGUUCAAGCUAAUGCUUGACUUUAUAAGAACAAGUUAAUUUAGUUGAUGCGUUUUUCCGCCAUAUGUUUAUUUACCAGCUGUAUGUAUGUAGUCUAUUUCUUUUAAGGUCAUAAAAACGUUGUCCACAACAACAUUACCUUAAUAUAUGACUGAGAUUGAAUUACACUUCAUUCCUCAUUAUGUCGGUAAUAUGGAACAGCAGUUAUCUACUUCUCUAUGUAUGUAAUAUAUCAUUUUCUAAGGUGUUUUGUUUAAAGGCUGAAAGAUAGAACCUUCUUAAUGUCAGUGUGUCAUAUUGUUUCCUCUCUUAGACAACAGAGCAUCCUCCUUAUCUGCAUUGUGUGUGAACGGAAGACUAUUGCGGCUGGUGACUCUUUGGUGACUCUAAAGUGUGUCCUGUUGUCCAGCAUCUCUCCUCUAUCCCAUUGGCUCUCUGUCUAUCCUAUACCUUGUAUCCACUCUGUCUACAAUAUGAUUACUCUAGCUUUCCUGUCAAAUCUACCUCUCUGUCUUUGAUUUUGGAAACUCUAUCUUUGUAUCCCUCUUCUAUCCCACUCUAUCUGUAUACUGAACUGAUAUUUUGAAACCUGAAUUUUGAAACCUGAAUUUUGAAACCUGAACUCUGAAACCCAAUUUUUGGUUGCCUAAGGUCAUUGAUACCUGUCUGUCUGAACAGAACUCUGAGAGUCUCCACUCUCACGCUCUCUGUCUCUCCUCUGAAUACUCUCACCCGGGUUAUUGGUACCUGAUCUACCUUUUUGAAUGAUCUGAGAGAUUCUCUUCUCUCACUCUCACCUCUUUCCAUCUCCUAUCAACUCAUAUAUUUAUACAACGCUAUUACUCUUUUUACUAAUUUGACAAAGCAUUUGAAAUUUACUAUUAAUGAGAUUAACAAAAUUGGCCUAAAGAAAGAAUUGAAAAGUUAAUUCAGAAGCUAAAAAAACACAAGCACAAAUAUUUUUGUUGUAAUUGAACUACACUUUGAUACAAAGAAUUGGAUAAUUGGAUUGUGAAAAGAAAUUACACUUUAUAAUCUAGUCUGGUAGAUUUCCUGAUAUACUAUUUACAAAAGUGCAAGGAAUAAACAUAAUUUAAGACAACUGCACUCUGGUCAAUAUACAUAGGAACUAUUACAAAUCCAUAUUACAGAGAAGCGUUAUUUGCUCCUGAUCUCUGUUGCUGUGGACUUCUGUUGGUUUGUACUUAAGAGGUUUUCUUGGUGAACCGAUAUAUUUUCACACUUAACACUGUUGUUAACUUGAUUGGUCUACGUACAAGGAAACCUCAUACUGCUACAUGCAUUAUACCUAAUUAAACAUAUUUUUCUUAUAAACUUA